rnacentral:rRNA from 1 species
ACGUAGAACGUGUUGACAAAGAACUACCCAAAGAAGGAGACUAUGUAGUAAGGGAACCCACUAGAACCUUUCUUUUCUUCGGGAAAAAAAGUCCGAAAGGGAGAGGUCACACCACGCUUGGUGAAAGGCCGCAUAUCGAAUCGAAACGAACACACGACAAGAACUCACCUUAUUUCGAUCUCGCACGUAAGAACACCGAACCCUAGCCAUCCUAAGAAGAAGGAAGAAGGUGUCGGUACACGACGUACGUCGAAACUCGAAACCAUUAACGAAGAUCCGAGAUCGGUGGGGGUCAGGGUCGAAAUCGGUAGUUCUAGGUUCUUUCUAGGUCCUGGUUUUUCAGAACUCGACGUAACAUCACUCCCUAACAGGGGAUCGAACCGAGCGAGAAAUAAUUAAGGAGUAUAAUAGACAGGAAUGACACCGUGGUCUAGUUUCUAGUUCUUGUGUUGAGGGACAAAGGGCUCCUCUUUCCCUUAGUCCCUGUCCUCCGAGUUCGUCGUCGUCUAAGAGGAGAUUCCAUGAUCAUCAUUUAAUACGACCUAACCACUAGAAAGAACACAAGAAAAACAGGUACACCAUUGAAGGUACGGUUGUAUAAGAAGAUAGAACAAGACUUCUUCGAUAAACCCUCUUCGAGGAUAUAAUUAACCCAGAUAUCUACGUUGUUAGUAUUCCAUAACCUCUUUAAUAGAUGAAUUACAAUAAAUCGACCCAUCUAAGGGAAACUUGAUGUGUAUAACUACAGAAGGACGGACGUAUCCCGGUUAGUAACGUUUCCACAAACCUUAUAUAAGGGAGACGAGAACAGUAAGAAACGAACAUUACUCAAGAAAGUAUAAGGAAGUGUUUCUAUCACGACUAUGAGACCAAGGAAAGGGUCAAGAAGAGAGUCAUACUUCGUCUACUUCGAAGAGACUCCUUCCUUCCUUCCUUCCUUCCUCCUUCUUCUUCGAGAACUAAAGAAACGUACCUCUUCCUCCGGUACCCCCCCGUACAUUUAUACUACGACGGUGACCUCUUGGACUCGAGCCUGGAGGGGUUGCCACCUCAGCAUGAACCGGUACUGUUCCUCUAGAGUUGAGACGUACUUCUCUAAAGGCGAGACUCUAGCUCCGUCUCCGUAGAGUUGGCCUCUUCUGCACUCCGCGACCUGUUCGAGUAUCUGGAGUUUCCUUCGUAGUCCCACAAGACGGCUCAGGCCGGCAGCUAGAGUUGGUCGUUGUAGUUCUAGUUUAGUGGUCAAUGACAGCUUGUUCUCUUGUAGCAUCAAGCCCGUCACCCCUAGUUCUUUCUAAAGUCACAACUAGCCCACAAACUGGUCCUCAGUUGCGUUCUACUACACAAGGUACUGCACUUCGGUCAGGAGGCUAGACGUGAACUGCCCGUGUUGCAGACGUAGGAACGAAAACCGGUUUGACCCUGGCCUUUCUGGAUAUGUUACCUUCCUUGAUCGCUAUUGGAGCCGCAGCACGGAGCUCGCUAAGUCCUCGACAAAAGAGUACGACGAGUUCUAUGAAGUAGGUGUAUAAGAAAGAGGUAUUCGUACGAACUCCAGAUGUACCCUUCAGAGUCCCUGAACAACCGUGGUUCCGUCGUCGGAGAGAAGUCCAGGUGUCUUCCGUUAUGUUGAACAUUGGAGUCGUAAGAUCGUUGGUGUUCACCGAGGCACGUUCAGCUCCCCGAAUGGCUACAGCGUCAUGGCCUGGAGUUCUUUCGGUUGGUCACCAUGACGUCUCCCGCCGCUAGGGCCAGCUGUAGGACCUGUUUACAGUUGUUACAAAGCUCGGCUAGUGUGACGAGACAGACACACAUCGAACUGUUCUUAGUGGUAUUCCUCUACACCUCCACACUCACUCGUUCAGUCGUUCGACACCGAGCACCUAGAACCACCAUCGCUCGCCAACGAGUUCUGACCACGUAGACCCAACUGUUACCUACUCCCGUUCCGAUAUUUGGACAGAGACAGCCGAGAACCUCUACAGUAGCGACGUGAUUCCUCUUUCUCUUCGGUACAAGGUAUGUCUUUAUCGUUCGAAUGGGUCUAAGAGUCACUGAGAGAGCCGCUACCAAGUUUUCAGCACUACCACCACGUGUAGUCGGGAAGGUUCCUGCUGCACCCGCUCUGCUAAACAAGCGACCCGAAACGCUUCUCUCGGUACGACUAUCUUAGGCCGUCCCUCGAAAGUCUCCUGGACUUUUACAACUUCGCCUUCGCCGAGCGCCUCGAACUGUUCCUCUACGCGCUGCGGCUCGCCCUCGAGCCCCAAGACUUACUUGUUUAUUCCUCACGGCUCUGCAGCCGCCUCCUCUCCUUCUUCGAGGGAGGGAGGCAGACAGUCGGAGAGCCGCUGCUCUUCCCCAGCGGGUCUUCGUAAGACCACCGUCGGCUGUCGGGAGACGUCCGUUGGCUCUCCCGGUUCUCGUCCUACCAGGUAGUACCUAGUCAGGGAGUGAAGUACAGGCGUUGCCACACGUCGGCGGUUUCUGUGCCGCGUCGUCGGGUAAGGCAGCCAUUUGGUUCCGACUGUUCUAGUCACUUGCGCACGAGUAGAUUCGGGCCACCCUCGGUCAGCAAGUCGGUGAGGCGCAGGUUCCGAUCCAGCAGUCGCCGUAAGAGUAGGCCGCUCGGAUCCGACUUUAUGAACAGACAGUUUAGACUAGUCUAGUUGCAUUCGUCGUUGUCGUAGCUAAGCUGCCGCCGCAGCCCCGGAGCCGGUUCCCUCCCAAAACAAAGGUCCGGCCACGUCGACUCUCGAGGGGACGUAGUCGUGUCCUCUUCCUACAGUACGAAUUGGACUAACUCGAGUGUCUUUAUGACGACGUAUGUCUAACGUAUGGUGACUAAAACUGAACAACAAACCACGAGUUUACAAAUGUCGACAAACUAUCAAACCAACACAAUUGAACACACAUCGAUGACCUCCCGGGAAGGAAACGAGAAAAACCAAAGUUUGCCUUCCCCGUGUUCCUACACUCACACUCCCCAUACCAUUUACCUCAACAUUAACAUUAACCUAAACUGAUUACGAAAACUAACUAGACAACUUAACAUUCAACUUUUUUUUUCCUCAUGUCGUAGUGAAUUAUAUGACAAGACUAAGUCCGAUACUUUUGUCUAUACUAACAAAGUCC